UGUGAGCUCAACCACAGCAUCUUCUGAGCCUGAAGGGAGCAGUCCAGUGUCCAGUUACCCAUUUUGAGAAUGUGCAAGAGACACCAGCUGGGUCUCUUUCAAGGAAAUCCAGUUCCAAAAAAGGUGAGGGCAGAUCUUCGGUACAGCACUUUCAGCUGCCUGCAGGCUCAGGACAGACACCAGCUAUUGGCUGCACUCAGGAGAUCCAGAAGUGCAGAAAAUAUCACGAGGGCAUGCCCAGGCCGGUCUAUCCUCCUCAGCUACCCAAACUGAGACAGGACAGAACACAGCCACGCUGGACAGAGCCUGUGCUGUUGAGGAAGUUAAACCAGCAAGGCUGUGUUAAUGAAGGUAACAGCCAGAGUACAAAGUUGCUGAUUUUACUGCUUCAGGCUGCAUCCAGCUCAUAAAAUAGCAUAGCUACACAAGGAAGGUGGGUUCAGUCAGAUUGUAUUAUUUUUGAACGUGUUGGUCUAAAUAAAAAACAAUGCAACUUGUGCAUGUAAGAAA